UUGCGAACACAGGCUAUGCGAAGUUCAAGGCCGGUAGAAAUUUCCUACACCACUACCCUUUCGCCAUCGCGCGAGCGACGGGCGCGUGGCGACCGCGGUCCUGCGCGUGCAUCACGGCAAACAUCCCUCCUCCCCGCGAAACAAAAGUUGUUUGCUACUCCGUGACAGAUGAUUGCCCCCGAUUCGUGCACAGGCAUGCUCAGUCGGGGAGCAACGACCCAAACCGUGAGGCGAGAUGUCACUUCCGCCCUCACGCGAAACAGACAAACUUGUGGACGCAACGUUGUUCGAGGGGCUCGAGCUCCUAACGCACGAGCGCUUCGCUCCCAGCAUCGUAGUGGGCACCAGAGGAGAAGCUGAACUCACAGCUUUGGAAUGUGACUGGAAAACCCAGAAAAACAAACCUGAAGGCUGAUGUGUUCAGUGGUGAUGAGCCUCACGUGAUGCUACAAAAGGCCAGUCAGUGGAAAUCAGCGUGGAGCGGCUCGCCGGCGUGUGCAGCUCUGUGACGGGGACUCAUUUAGAUAUGGAGGGAGGUGGGUGUGUUACUGCGAGGAAGCCACCGAGGAGUAGAGGAGAUUCAAAGUCAAGGUGAGCGCAAAUGAAUGAAAAAACGUUGCAACCCGGCUGCUUAUUUUUACACUAGUUGUUGUUUAAGUGCAGUUAAUGCACAUUUCUAAAAGGACUUUAGUUUCUGAUGUAUGUUUUAUUCCAGUUUUUACAAAUUAAAAGUUGAA